rnacentral:rRNA from 1 species
CAGCCGCCGCGGUAAUACCAACCCCGCGAGUGGUCGGGACGAUUAUUGGGCCUAAAGCGCCCGUAGCCGGCUCGACAAGUUUCCUCCUAAAUCCUCGGGCUCAACCCGAGGAUUGGAGGAGAUACUGUCGAGCUAGGGGGUGGGAGAGGCCGAGGGUACUCCCGGGGUAGGGGCGAAAUCCUAUAAUCCCGGGAGGACCACCAGUGGCGAAGGCGCUCGGCUGGAACACGCCCGACGGUGAGGGGCGAAAGCCGGGGGAGCGAACCGGAUUAGAUACCCGGGUAGUCCCGGCUGUAAACGAUGCUGGCUAGGUGUUGGGUGGGCCUAGAGCCCACCCAGUGCCGCAGCGAAGCCGUUAAGCCCGCCGCCUGGAGUACG